GGGCUGUAGAUGCAGGGGCAAAGAGAUGCUGAAGGGUCUGUGGUCCCCAGGCUCCUGCGGCAUGGGAAGGCAAGCCUCGGCGAGACUCUCUGGAGAGGAAGAGUCUAGGCAAGCCUCUCAUGAAAUCAAUGAGAAUCUCCCCAUUGCCAUCAAUAGCUGUUGACUCAUAACUCCAGGUCCGUUUUUAUGAAGGAAUGAGUCUGAAGUCUUCAAAGAAACCUAAGCUCUACUGAGAAUAAGCAGGAUCAAGCCUCCAUCCUCCUCAAACAUCCAAGAAAUCAGUGCAUGUUCAUCACCAGACCCAAACAAGCUUCAAGAGAACAAACUAAAGACUAAGAAUGGAAGUUACAGCACAAGGACUUCCAAGAGGUGGUGAUUUUAAGGGCAAACAGUCAACCAGUGACUUUGUUGACCUGUUUCCAACUUCUAGUAGGAAAGUUUCAAAUACUGGUCCAGAGUUGUCUUAACUUCAGGAGGGCCUGCAUUGUUUCCCUGUGUCUGGUGGGGUAACAGCUCUUUGCUGCUUUUCAAUCACCAGUCCACCUCCUGUAGAAGGCAUGUUUCCAGCCCUACUCAUCUUGUGCUGCAUGAAUGUGUUGCCAUCAGGAGUUGCUGUGGCAAGAAAGGGAUUUUGGGUUACAAUUGCUCCAGUGUCCAUUCCCUGUUUAUUCCUGAUAAUUGGC